rnacentral:lncRNA from 1 species
AGUCACUUAGUUAAUGAUGCAGCAGUACAGGGAAGGCCAUCACAUGUGAACUGGAAGGGAGCCAACAUGGAGACACAGAGAAAGCAAGAUCCCAGGAGCUUCACUACCUGUCUCCACAGAGCUCCUAACAAGAUGCAACAGUGACUGCGUCAUCAUUCCCCACUUUUCUCAACUACGCAGUGACAACCUCCCAGCAUCACCCCACUUCUCUCAGCCCACACCCUACCCUAUGCCGAUGCUCUUCCACCACCCCAGAUGCCCACAACUAGACGUUUUAAUAAGAGAAUGCCUGGAAAAACAGUCCCUCUUGCCUGCUUCUUGUCACUUCUCACUCUCUUCCUUUCCCAUAAGCCUGCACAGAUGGACACUGACACCCAAACAACCUGGAAAACCAGUCUCUCCAUCCACCAACAGAAAACAGGGUAAAGGGUGAAAGGUUAAGUGGGAAGCCGGGGAUGGUUCACUCCUCUCCUCUAUCCUGGUCAGACUUAAAUAGAUGACACUAAGGGAGAAGAAAUUAAAGUAAAAAUAAAAUAAAAUAAACCUCCAAGGGAAAAA